rnacentral:rRNA from 1 species
GAUGAACGCUGGCGGCGUGCCUCAAACAUGCAAGUCGAGCGAGGCUAUGAAUUACCGCAAGGUAAGGCAUAGCCUAGCGGCGAACGGGUGAGUAACACGUGGGUAACCUACCUGGAAGACAGGGAUAACGAUUCGAAAGGGUCGCUAAUACCUGAUAAUAUCCAUCUGCCGGGAUGGCGGAGGGAAGAAAGGGGAAACCCGCUUUCAGAUGGGCCCGCGUCCCAUCAGCUAGUUGGUAAGGUAAAGGCUUACCAAGGCGACGACGGGUAGCCGGUCUGAGAGGAUGUACGGCCACACUGGGACUGAGAUACGGCCCAGACUCCUACGGGAGGCAGCAGUUGGGAAUCUUAGGCAAUGGACGAAAGUCUGACCUAGCGACGCCGCGUGAGGGAAGAAGGCCUUCGGGUUGUAAACCUCUGUCAUGGGGGAAGAAGGAAGUGACGGUACCCCAAGAGGAAGCCCCUGCUAACUACGUG